rnacentral:rRNA from 1 species
AGAAUCAACGCUGGCGGCGUGCCUAACACAUGCAAGUCGAACGAGAAAGGGACUUCGGUCCUGAGUAAAGUGGCGCACGGGUGAGUAACACGUGACUAACCUACCCUUGAGUGGGGAAUAACUUCGAGAAAUCGAGGCUAAUUCCGCAUAAUACCUACGGGUCAAAGGAGCAAUUCGCUUAAGGAGGGGUCGCGGCAGAUUAGCUAGUUGGCGGGGUAAUGGCCCACCAAGGCUUUGAUCUGUA